rnacentral:rRNA from 1 species
AUUGAACGCUGGCGGCAGGCCUAACACAUGCAAGUCGAACGAGUGGCGGACGGGUGAGUAAUGUCUGGGAAACUGCCUGAUGUAGGGGUAUAACUACUGGAAACGGUAGCUAAUACCGCAUACUAUCGGAUGUGCCCAGAUGGGAUUAGCUAGUAGGUGGGGUAACGGCUCACCUAGGCGACGAUCCCUAGCUGGUCUGAGAGGAUGAACAGCCACACUGGUACUGAGACACGGCCCAGACUCCUACGGGAGGCAGCAGUGGGGAAUAUUCCACAAUGGGCGAAAGCCUGAGGCAGCCAUGCCGCGUGUAUGAAGAAGGCCUUCGGGUUGUAAAGUACUUUCAGCGGGGAGGCGUUACCCGCCGAAGAAGCACCGGCUAACUCCGUGCCAGCAGCCGCGGUAAUUC